rnacentral:rRNA from 1 species
UGGGGAAUUUUGGACAAUGGGGGAAACCCUGAUCCAGCCAUCCCGCGUGUGCGAUGAAGGCCUUCGGGUUGUAAAGCACUUUUGGCAGGAAAGAAACGUCAUGGGUUAAUACCCCGUGAAACUGACGGUACCUGCAGAAUAAGCACCGGCUAACUACGUGCCAGCAGCCGCGGUAAUACGUAGGGUGCAAGCGUUAAUCGGAAUUAGUGGGCGUAAAGCGUGCGCAGGCGGUUCGGAAAGAAAGAUGUGAAAUCCCAGAGCUCAACUUUGGAACUGCAUUUUUAACUACCGGGCUAGAGUGUGGCAGAGGGGGGUGGAAUUUCGCGUGUAGCAGUGAAAUGCGAAGAUAUGCGGAGGAACACCGAUGGCGAAGGCAGCCUCCUGGGAUAAAACUGAAGAUCAUGCACGAAAGCGUGGGGAGCAAACAGG